rnacentral:rRNA from 1 species
GCCAGACUCCUACGGGAGGCAGCAGUGAGGAAUAUUGGUCAAUGGGCGGGAGCCUGAACCAGCCAAGCCGCGUGAAGGAAGAAGGCGCCAAGCGUCGUAAACUUCUUUUGUCGGGGAACAAAGGGCGCCACGUGUGGCGUUGUGAGUGUACCUGAAGAAAAAGCAUCGGCUAACUCCGUGCCAGCAGCCGCGGUAAUACGGAGGAUGCGAGCGUUAUCCGGAUUUAUUGGGUUUAAAGGGUGCGUAGGCGGUCGGAAAAGUCAGGGGUAAAACCCGGGGGCCCAACCCGGGCGAGCCGUUGAAACUGUCGGACUAGAGACGGCGAGAAGUACGCGGAAUGCGCGGUGUAGCGGUGAAAUGCAUAGAUAUCGCGCAGAACCCCGAUUGCGAAGGCGGCAUGCCGGCUUCCGACUGACGCUGAAGCACGAAAGCGUGGGGAUCGAACAGGAUUAGAUACCCGCGUA